AAAGAUAUAAAGAUGCGGAUCAGUGUUUCCCAAAGCCCAAGAGGACAUCCUCAAAUGGCUUGUUUUCUCCACAACUCAAAAAUAUUCAGUUUACUGUCACAGAGGAGUGAAGAAACUAGAAAAUGUACAAAUUUAAGAAGCUGCAAUCACAUACUGUAAGUUUUACUUUUU